AUUGAACGCUGGCGGCAUGCUUUACACAUGCAAGUCGAACGGCAGCGCGGGCUUCGGCCUGGCGGCGAGUGGCGAACGGGUGAGUAAUGCAUCGGAACGUGCCCAGUAGUGGGGGAUAGCCCGGCGAAAGCCGGAUUAAUACCGCAUACGACCUGAGGGUGAAAGCGGGGGACCGAAAGGCCUCGCGCUAUUGGAGCGGCCGAUGUCGGAUUAGCUAGUUGGUGGGGUAAAGGCUUACCAAGGCGACGAUCCGUAGCUGGUCUGAGAGGACGACCAGCCACACUGGGACUGAGACACGGCCCAGACUCCUACGGGAGGCAGCAGUGGGGAAUUUUGGACAAUGGGGGCAACCCUGAUCCAGCCAUGCCGCGUGCGGGAAGAAGGCCUUCGGGUUGUAAACCGCUUUUAUUCGGGAAGAAAUCCUCUGGGCUAAUACCCCGGGGGGAUGACGGUACCGGAAGAAUAAGCACCGGCUAACUACGUG
rnacentral:rRNA from 1 species